rnacentral:rRNA from 1 species
CCUACGGGUGGCAGCAGUGGGGAAUAUUGGACAAUGGGCGAAAGCCUGAUCCAGCCAUGCCGCGUGUGUGAAGAAGGCCUUCGGGUUGUAAAGCACUUUCAGUGGGGAAGAAAGCCUUGGGGCUAAUACCCUCGAGGAAGGACAUCACCCACAGAAGAAGCACCGGCUAACUCCGUGCCAGCAGCCGCGGUAAUACGGAGGGUGCGAGCGUUAAUCGGAAUUACUGGGCGUAAAGCGCGCGUAGGCGGUCUGAUAAGCCGGUUGUGAAAGCCCCGGGCUCAACCUGGGAACGGCAUCCGGUACUGUCAGGCUAGAGUACAGUAGAGGAAGGUAGAAUUCCCGGUGUAGCGGUGAAAUGCGUAGAUAUCACGAGGAAUACCAGUUGCGAAGGCAGCCUUCUGGACUGACACUGACGCUGAGGUUCGAAAGCGUGGGUAGCAAACAGGAUUAGAUACCCGUGUAGUC